GCAGGUAUCUAUGUGUGCAGGUAUCUAUGUGUGCGUGUAUCUAUGUGUGCAGGUAUCUAUGUGUGCAGGUAUCUAUGUGUGCAGGUAUUCAUGUGUGCAGGUAUUCAUGUGUGCAGGUAUUCAUGUGUGCAGGUAUCUAUGUGUGCGUGUAUCUAUGUGUGCGUGUAUCUAUGUGUGCAGGUAUCUAUGUGUGCAGGUAGUCAUGUGUGCAGGUAUUCAUG